GUGCUCACUUCAGCAGCACAUAUACUAGAACUGGAACAAUGCAGAGAUUAACAUGGCCCUGCACAACGAUGACACACAAAUUCAUGAAAUGUGCCUUAUUUUU